AUUGAACGCUGGCGGCAGGCCUAACACAUGCAAGUCGAGCGAGAGGCGGACGGGUGAGUAAUGUCUGUGAGACUCCCUGAUGGAGGGGGAUGACUACUGGACACGGGAGCUCAUACCGCAUACCCUCAGAAGUGCCCAGAUGGGAUUACCUAGUAGGUGGGGUACAGGCUCACCUAGGCGACGAUCCCUAGCUGGUCUGAGAGGAGGACCAGCCACACUGGAACUGAGACACGGUCCAGACUCCUACGGGAGGCAGCAUUGGGGAAUAUUGCACAAUGGGCGCAAGCCUGAUGCAGCCAUGCCGCUUGUGUGAAGAAGGCCUUCGGGUUGUAAAGCACUUUCAGCGGGGAGGCGUUACCCGCAGAAGAAGCACCGGCUAACUCCGUGCCAGCCGCCGCGGUAAUAC
rnacentral:rRNA from 1 species